AGUCAUAUGCUUGUCUCAAAGAUUAAGCCAUGCAUGUCUAAGUAUAAGCAAUUAUACCGCGAAACUGCGAAUGGCUCAUUAUAUAAGUUAUCGUUUAUUUGAUAAUACUUUACUACUUGGAUAACCGUGGUAAUUCUAGAGCUAAUACAUGCUAAAAAUCCCGACUUCGGAAGGGUUGUAUUUAUUAGAUUAAAAACCAAUGCCCCUCGGGGCUCUCUGGUGAAUCAUGAUAACUAGUCGAAUCGACAGGCCUUGUGCCGGCGAUGGCUCAUUCAAAUUUCUUCCCUAUCAACUUUCGAUGUUUGGGUCUUGUCCAAACAUGGUGGCAACGGGUAACGGAGGGUUAGGGCUCGACCCCGGAGAAGGAGCCUGAGAAACGGCUACUACAUCCAAGGAAGGCAGCAGGCGCGCAAAUUACCCAAUCCCGACACGGGGAGGUAGUGACAAUAAAUACUGAUACAGGGCUCUUUUGGGUCUUGUAAUCGGAAUGAGUACAAUUUAAAUCCCUUAACGAGGAACAAUUGGAGGGCAAGUCUGGUGCCAGCAGCCGCGGUAAUUCCAGCUCCAAUAGCGUAUAUUAAAGUUGUUGUGGUUAAAAAGCUCGUAGUUGAACCUUGGGCCUGGCUGGCCGGUCCGCCUCACCGCGUGCACUGGUCCGGCCGGGCCUUUCCCUCUGCGGAACCCCAUGCCCUUCACUGGGUGUGGCGGGGAAACAGGACUUUUACUUUGAAAAAAUUAGAGUGCUCAAGGCAGGCCUAUGCUCGAAUACAUUAGCAUGGAAUAAUAGAAUAGGACGUGUGGUUCUAUUUUGUUGGUUUCUAGGACCGCCGUAAUGAUUAAUAGGGACAGUCGGGGGCAUCAGUAUUCAAUUGUCAGAGGUGAAAUUCUUGGAUUUAUUGAAGACUAACUACUGCGAAAGCAUUUGCCAAGGAUGUUUUCAUUAAUCAGGAACGAAAGUUAGGGGAUCGAAGACGAUCAGAUACCGUCGUAGUCUUAACCAUAAACUAUGCCGACUAGGGAUCGGACGAUGUUACAUUUUUGACGCGUUCGGCACCUUACGAGAAAUCAAAGUGCUUGGGCUCCAGGGGGAGUAUGGUCGCAAGGCUGAAA
rnacentral:rRNA from 1 species